CUACGGGAGGCUGCAGUAAGGAAUAUUGGUCAAUGGGCGCAAGCCUGAACCAGCCAUGCCGCGUGCAGGAAGACGGCCUUAUGGGUUGUAAACUGCUUUUAUAAAGGAAUAACCCCCCAUUCGUGAAUGGGGCUGAAGGUACUUUAUGAAUAAGCACCGGCUAACUCCGUGCCAGCAGCCGCGGUAAUACGAAGGGUGCAAGCGUUAUCCGGAUUUAUUGGGUUUAAAGGGUGCGCAGGCGGGCUGGUCAGUCAGUGGUGAAAUCCCGGGGCUCAACUCCGGAACUGCCAUUGAUACUGCCAGUCUUGAAUACGGUUGAGGUAGGCGGAAUGUAGCAUGUAGCGGUGAAAUGCAUAGAUAUGCUACAGAACACCGAUCGCGAAGGCAGCUUACCAAGCCGAUAUUGACGCUCAGGCACGAAAGCGUGGGGAGCGAACAGGAUUAGAUACCCUGGUAGUC
rnacentral:rRNA from 1 species